rnacentral:rRNA from 1 species
GAGUAAUGAGGGGCGGGCAGCGGAGGUAAUACGUAGGUUCCGAGGGGUGGCCGGAUUUAGUGGUGGUAAAGCGAGCGCAGGUGGUUACAUAAGGCUGAAGUAAAAGGCAGUGGCGCAACCAUUGUAUGCUUUGGAAACUGUGUAACUUGAGUGCAGAAGGGGAGAGUGGAAUUCCAUGUGUAGCGGUGAAAUGCGUAGAUAUAUGGAGGAACACCGGUGGCGAAAGCGGCUCUCUGGUCUGUAACUGACACUGAGGCUCGAAAGCGUGGGGAGCAAACAGGAUUAGAACCCUGGUAGUC